GCAUUCUUACAGUCUCUGAGGAGGCUCAACAGUUCCAGAUAAUCGUAUCCAGAAUCAACAACUUUCUGGUUUCCAGAAGAAGGACAAAUAUUGCAUUACAGAAGGAAGGACCAUCAUAUGUUUCAGCAAAGAUUCAGUCUGCAGGAGCGCAGUAGACAUUAGAGACACACGCAAAAGAAGAGAAGAGGGGAAAUGUGUUUCAGUGUUAAAGUGAUUGGAAUGAAGAACCGGAAAAUCUGAGCUGACUGCUUUGUUUCAAAUAGAAAUAAAUAAAACAGUAACCUGAAGAGGACUAGUGAGGCAAGAGAAGGAUCAUACAGGCACUAAUUUUAAAGGAUAUUCUGCCUUGCCAUGGGCCUGGAAGCAAUGGAGACAAAGGACUAUGGAUUGAAAUCUGAGACCAAGCUAAAGUAAGCCUUCCCUCCUUAUCCACUGAUUAUCUCAGGUAUUUUGCCAUAAUGACUGUAAGCUCACUAACCCAGUUACUAAAGAGAAUAGCAAUCAUUAUUUGAGGACUUCACUUAUAGGAAAAGGGUAAGUACAUUUACAGUUGUGUUCAAGAGGGUUUUAGCAUGUUACAUACAGUUUAUGACCUUUUUAUUGAUUUUUCGCUCAUAGUUUAAGCAUGGUUGAAGGAGGUGUAGAUAUAUAUUGAAAAAAGGGGCAUAUUUGAAUUUCUUCAGUAAUCUCACAGCACUCCCAAAACUUUACUUGACACAAAACAUUCGCUUUCUACCACACAAUAAUUCAAUUUAUAUUCUUUACCAGACACCAACUAGAUCUCUUACAAUUUUUUCAAUUAUGACACUAGCUGGAGGCAGAAUCAGAUCCCACAGUUAAGGGGCUCAGUCCCAGAGGACCUUCCCCAGCACCUCAAAUGCCAUUUGCAAGUAGUUUAUCUUGAUAUUACUCACAUCUAUCCAAGUUGGCUACAAAGCAGAUGUUCCCAUGACUGUCCUUCCUUCACAGAACUAUUAAACAGUUUACUUACUAGAUUAGCAGUCUGUUACAAAGGGUUUAACUCAGACACAGCCAAAUAGAAAAGGUGCAUGGGACAAGUUAUGAAGGCAAAGAGCAUAAGGCUUCUACUGCCUCUCCAGGAGAAUCUUGCUACUUGCAAUUUAAAUAUUCACCAAUCUCAAAGCUCUUUAAAUCUCAACCUUUACAAAUUUUAGAGAGGCUUUUUUACGUAGGCAUGUUAGCUAAAACACUGACCAUUGAGGAUUUAGCCAAUCUCCAAUUCCUCUUCACUCUCUGGGGUUCAGGGUGUGAAGCUUAAAGAUCUAACCCUCUACUCACAUUUUUGGUUCCUCAGGUAAACAGCUUCCUAUCUUUAGGGAAUUUCAGAAAACACUUCAUUAACAUAACUCAGGUGUGGUUGA